UCCCAGUUGUUUAAAAGCACGUUGCUCAAGCCAGCAUGACUUAAAUGCUUGAUGCAAAAUUUUGGCAAAAUAAUGUGAUUUGUUCAUCUAGGAUGAGCUUUUCAGUGGGGUCCAUCUCCUUGUGAAACAUGAGGUGCUUUUACAUUAAUCUUUUUAUUUGGCCGUGACCUGACUGCACAGGAGAGCAGUACGAAUGGUCACUGUGCUCAGGAAAAAACAUUGAAAAUAAAACGCAGAUAUUUGUGACAUACAUAUCCCUCUUGAGGGCUAAAAUCUCAAAGGUAUUCUAUUCUAUCAAUAGAGAUCUAAGAAAUGGAGACUAUGAUAGUCUUUUCCAUGCUUAAAUAUUUUAAUGUUUUAAUGAAUGUGUAAAGGAAUAGAGAAUCUCCUUUGAGAGCUAUAUAUGUAUUAAAAACAGUGUAUCUACUUUCCAUGGUGUCUUACAAGUUCUGAAUUCUGUCUGUUUAUGUGUCUGUCCAUCUACUGAAGUGAUUCCUUCAAGAACUCCCACAAAUCUGUAUCAACAUCGACAACAGCAUCAGCUCAGUUUUUUCCUCCUUCUUAAUGACCUCUACAAGAGCAUCCUGUUGUUAGCACCACGUUGGGGCAUCAAUUCCACAGCAACUCAGAAGAAGGAGCAGCACCUCACAGCUCUGCUUCCUAAGGCAGCCAGGAUGAUGCUGUUCUC